ensembl:snRNA U6 U6 spliceosomal RNA
GUGGCUUUGGCAGCACAUAUACUAAAAUUAGAAUGAAACAGAUUAGCAUGGCCCCUAUGCCAGGAUGAUGUGCAAAUUUGUGAAGCAUUCCUUUUUUUU